rnacentral:rRNA from 1 species
UACGUAGGGGGCAAGCGUUGUCCGGAUUUAUUGGGCGUAAAGAGCGUGUAGGCGGCCAGGUAGGUCCGUUGUGAAAACUGGAGGCUUAACCUCCAGCUGUCGAUGGAAACCAUCUGGCUAGAGUCCGGAAGAGGAGAGUGGAAUUCCUGGUGUAGCGGUGAAAUGCGCAGAUAUCAGGAAGAACACCCGUGGCGAAGGCUGCUCUCUGGGACGGUACUGACGCUGAGACGCGAAAGCGUGGGGAGCGAACAGG